ACAUCGGUGGUUCAGUGGUAGAAUUCUCGCCUCCCAUGCAGGAGACCUGGGUUCGAUUCCUGGCCAAUGUG
rnacentral:tRNA from 1 species